rnacentral:rRNA from 1 species
GAUGAACGCUGGCGGCGUGCCUAACACAUGCAAGUCGAACGAAAAGACGAGGAGCUUGCUCCUUGGGCGUUAGACGCGGGCGUGAGAGAAACGAGUGUGUCACGUCCUUGUAAGUCUGGGAUCAAUAGGGGAAACAGGAGCGAAUACGAGAUAAUAUUUCGAACCGCGGGGUUCGAUAGUGAAAGAGGGCGUUGCGGUCACUGAUAGAUGGACCUGCGCCGUAUUAGCUAGUUGGUAAGGUAAAGGCUUACCACGGCGACGAUCCGUAGCCGAACUGAGAGGGUGAUCGGCCACACUGGAACUGAGACACGGUCCAGACUCCUACGGGAGGCAGCAGUAGGGAAUCUUCGGCAAUGGGCGAAAGCCUGACGCAGCAACGCCGCGUGCGUGAUGAAGGCCUUCGGGUCGUAAACUGCUUUUAUUCGGGACGAACAGACUCUGACGGAAACGUGGAGGGCGUGACGGUACCGAAUCAAAAAGCACCGGCUAACUACGUG